UGACAGUGAGUGACGUGACUGACGUCGGAAACCUCAGUAUAGUACUAAACAAGAAGGUGGAAGGGUUUUCUUAUCAACAAGAACUUCGGGAAUGCGGAAACAUAUUAGUAUGAGGUGGUUUCAUUUGCAAAGACUACGCCGUUUCGAAUCAAGUCGUUUCAGUGAAUCCAUAAAGACAGUCACUUCCAUACAACUCCCUUGAUUUUCGAUAGAGCAGUCGAAGCAUUUGGUUACUGAAUAAAACAGAAAAAAACGUAAUAGAUCUGAUUACUGACGCUAAUCCAGGUUAAGAAUUUAAUGAACUAGUAAACCCAGUCCCUUGAUAGAGAGAUAAAAAAUGCCCCUCAGUAAUGCGAAACCUAGGGAUGCAGUCUACUACUAUUCGUUGUUUUGAAAUAAAUCAGUGUUAUCGAGACAUUCAUCUCUGCAAUAAACACUGUCGUCGGUCUAUCUUUACGAACCUUAGGCUUAGUGUGCUAUUUAGAACAUUUGUGGUAAAUUAGUGUCGCGAACUCAUCAAGUAUAUUGAAUAUAUUCUUGGUAAACUUAGAUUUGCGAAAUCCAUUCGGUAUGUUAAUAAGUCAGUAUAAUUAUAUUGGAAUGACGAAGUUGAGUAAUGGAAACAAUAAGAGAAUUAACGAGUAAUUUAUGAGAGUUGCAAAACGAACUAGUUAUCUGAAUUAGUUGAUUUAGUUGAAAGUAGUAAAUGUAUGUAUGGGAUACGUGCUUAUAGAUAUAACGUAAAUACGACCAUUUUGAUGGUAAAACUUAAAUAUUUUAAGUAGCCACUUUUAGUUGUCAAACUGAUUUUAUGGAUAUACUGAAACGACCUAUGUUUGUACCUAAACAACGGAGGAGGAGGAGGAGGAGGAACAACCAGGAACCAGGAACCACUUACUUCUAUCAAUACAGGUCAACUGACGUCGAGGCAGAUUGCUAUUCAACCUUCAUGACAGGACAAGAGUCGACAAUUAAACUCGGUCUCUGGGCAUUGUGCAUGACUGGUCACAUCUGAUCCACAACAAAGUAGCAUUUUUGUAUAAGAAUCAGUAUUACUUUAUUAAUGGACUGCCUUUCGAUUUCCUGGCAUUUGUACCGAGUUAAGUCAGGAUUUCAUAAUAGGUUAUCUACGAGCAGCAAGUUCGUGAAGGGGAUAACUGAAGAAGUUUGAAUGAAAUGCUCCAAAUAAUGCGUAUAACACUUCAGAAAGGGAAGUGUCGACACAACAACUUCAAAGUAUAAAGUGGACAAGUUUGCAAGGACUAAGGUCUCUCCUUGGAAUUUAAGUGGCGAGUAUAGUUGGAAGAAUUAUGAGAGUUGUACAGAAGUCACACAUUGGAAUUCCAGAGACGAAUACCAAAUAUGUACAAUUAGCCAAAAUGUGGGGGAAAAAAAGGCUUUAUUAAUAUAUACGCUGGAAAGUGUCAUAUUUUCGUAGAGAGGGAUCACAAUCAGAACUCCUUUGACUAUUACAAGUUAGAUAGGGUUAAAUUUAAAGUACAUAUUGUACGCACACGUGUUGUAUCAGAUCGCAAUAGUGCCUGUCGGCCUAACAAUGAGUCAGGGCCAGGUUGGGUAAUGUAAUUUCCAAAUAGGAACUGCAGGAGUUCAUUUUAGGCUUAAUUAAUAGUAGUUUGUAGUCUUGCGUAACUGGAGUAUUAUGUAUGUUUACACUUGUACUUUAAAACUUACUGGAAGGCUAUAUUUAAUACAAUAGAGAAAUCGUAUCCCUUAGAAUUUAAAUGUUUACAUUGUUAAGGUAGGAAAAUUUUCAGGAAUUUGGUUUAUAAGGUAUUUCUCAAACUGAAUUACGUACAAAGCUUGCCAUUAAAAUAAUGCUUCUUGCUUGACAUUAAACAUAUAUCAAUUAAAAGUUAAUAAUGUAACUAAUAGAGUAUCUUAUCAAGGGGAUUAUUUUCAUGGCAUCUUUGCAUAUUUCUAGUCUGGUGGCAUCUUUGCAUAUUUCUAGUCUGGCAAAUUAAGUAAAUGAAUCAGUCAUAUAGAAUGCUUUAACUGAGGCGAAUUAGGAUUUUUCUGAAAAUUAAAUAGCGUUACUUUAAAUGAGAUUAGAUAUUGUUAACAGUGGUCUCUUACGUAGUAUAUGAAUCAGUAGAUUUAAGUCACCUGGAGAACUAGUCGUGAUAUUUUCACUGGAGCACUGGAUACUUUACAGAACUUUACUGUGAAAAGGAAAUUAUUUCUAAGUGGACUUCUUAGCUAUUUGUAAUGUUACCAUCUUUACUGUGAAAUGGAAAGUAAUUUCUGAGUGAACUUCUUAACUGAAGAGUUGCUGCUUAACUACUAUGUUAACCUUUUUUGCCUGACUAAUAAGUCACACGUAUCUUUGCUUGUAAGGUUCUCGAAAUGGGACUAAUUUCCCAUGAAAUAUGUUAAUCAUGUGGGAGUUAAGUGUGGGUUAAAAGUACAAAGUUAAACAGCAGAGUGGAAGAUACUUAACGGAUGAAAAGUAAAGGGACGAUAUUUGGUAGUCAAGUAUUUUGGUUAUGACAACACUUGCCUCAGAAUUAGUAGUCAGGAAUGAACUAUUCACAGAAGAGUUCUCACUCAGCUUUUGAACGGAGUCACUUAAGAGUUCGAAGAAUUCCCGUUUAUUAUUUCUGAGUUAUGUAUACGUAUAGUGUUUAGAAGCUUUUAGGACUUUAAGAGCACCGGUGUCUUGACAUAUGGAGAUUUAUUUGAUUAAGGUAUUAAUCAGUAAUUUUUUAUGUGUUAAUAUGUUUCAUGCAAUUCCUAUUGAAGUACAUCAUUUGAUUACAUUCAGAUUCAAUUAAAUUUUAAUGUUAAAAAUCUUACUUUAGAUUGUAAAUUACGACAAAACUAUUGUAAUACCAAAUUCUGUUUUGAUCUUUGUACAUGGACUUCCAUAUUUCAGCUUUUUGCUCAGUUCUCAUCAAGUCUUAUUUAAUUGGGAAACGUAGUUAGUGCUGUUAUUAUAUCUUGAUAUAUCAAAAAAUCAAGAAAAUUAUAUCAGUAUACAAAGUCUCUUUAGUUCUGGUAAAGUGUCCAUUGUGGACACUCCAGGUCUCGUGAACUCUGAAUUUGGAGACAAUGCUAAACACAUUUUCCUCAGUGGCCUGCGUUCCCGAAAUCUUUAGUGCCAAUGUUUUUUGCAAACUUAUUAGCUACAGAAACCGGAUAUUUUGUAAAAUCAUAUAAAUAAUUAAGAUAUGUUCUUACUACUCCCUCUCAACUUCCAUUCUGACCAGACUUCCCUCUUAAUAAACCUCAAAUCACACACUACAGAUGCAAAGGCAUUUCUUCAGUCUCCUGUUGAAGCUGCUACACAGAAACACUUUAAAUUUACAAGGUAACUUGAAAGAUCCAGAAUUGCACUGUAGAAGCAGUUCUUGAUCUAUCUCCUGAACACCUGGGAGCAAAACCCUUUGCACAUUUCAUGCUAUAAUGAAGUCCAUGUGUUUUUGCUGUAGAGAGAUUUCAUCUCUCUCUCUCUCUCUCUCUCUCUCUCUCUCUCUCUCUCUCUCUCUCUCUCUCUCUCUCUCUCUCUCUCUCUCUCUCUCUCUCCUUCCUGAAGCACCUCCACAUAUUUUGUGCCUUGCCAAAGUUCUUUGAAGUAUCUGUACAUGGUUUCCUUAGGCUACCAUGUAGUACUCCUCUCAAGUUUUAAAGCAUCAUUCUCUACUGGAGGAUUCUACGGACAUUUGACUUGCUUUACUGAAUACACACACACACACACACACACACACACACACACACACACACACACACACACACACACACACAAGGUGUUUUCGCCACUACUACUUCCAGACACACACGUUCAAUACCUCACUCUUACUAUUUUCACAUUUACAUUCUUACUCGACCCGCAAACUACACAGUACACACCAAGGAGUUUUAGCCAUUACUCUCAGACAUAGGGAUCAAAUACCUCUCACCAUUUUUACGCUUAAAUUCUUACUGUAAAAACACAAGUACGUACACUACAUACGUAUAGGUAUUCAUUUGUACGUGAUAAUAGACAUCGAAUCUAAGAAUGAUAGGGUAUGAAGGUCAAGUAAAUCUGUGAAUAUAAAUAUACUAUCUUCUGUCACUACAUUCUGAACUUGGUUCUAGAAUAUUUUGUCGGAAUUUUGGAAUAGUUAAUAUUCUGUAAAGUGGUUAGGUUAGGAAUUUCACCUUAUGUUAAUAUUUGAGAAAG